rnacentral:rRNA from 1 species
GCCCGCUCAGAAACUUAAAUAGAAUUGACGGGGCCCGCACAAGCGGUGGAGUAUGUGGUUUAAUUCGAUGCAACGCGAAGAACCUUACCUGGUCUUGACAUCCCGGAGACCCUUAGGAAACUAGGGGUGCUUCCAUCUGGAAGAAUCUGGAGACAGGUGCUGCAUGGCUGUCGUCAGCUCGUCGUCGUGAGAUGUUGGGUUAAGUCCCGCAACGAGCGCAACCCUUGCCUUUAGUUGCCAGCAGUUCGGCUGGGCACUCUAAAGGGACUGCCGGUGUUAAACCGGAGGAAGGUGGGGAUGACGUCAAGUCCUCAUGGCCUUUAUGACCAGGGCUACACACGUACUACAAUGGCCGAUACAAAGGGCAGCGACACUGCGAGGUGAGGCCAAUCCCGUAAAAUCGGUCUCAGUCCGGAUUGGAGUCUGCAACUCGACUCCAUGAAGUUGGAAUCGCUAGUAAUCGUGGAUCAGCAUGCCACGGUGAAUACGUUCCCGGGCCUU